AAAGUCGUAACAAGGUUUCCGUAGGUGAACCUGCGGAAGGAUCAUUAUCACGUAUCCACGUAUAAACCAUUGUGAACUGUUAAAUCUAACCAUUUGAACCCAUCAUUAUAACUUUUGUCUAACCAGUUUUUACUCUGGAAACGGAGACUAACUAAAUACGAAAAAUUAUGAACAACUCUUAGCAACGGAUAUCUCGGUUCUC
rnacentral:misc_RNA from 1 species